rnacentral:rRNA from 1 species
AUUGAACGCUGGCGGCAGGCCUAACACAUGCAAGUCGAGCGAGCGGCGGACGGGUGAGUAAUGUCUGGGAAACUGCCUGAUGGCGGGGGCUAACUACUGGAAACGGUAUCUAAUACCGCAUACCAUCAGAUGUGCCCAGAUGGGAUUAGCUGGUAGGUGGGGUAACGGCUCACCUAGGCGACGAUCCCUAGCUGGUCUGAGAGGAUGACCAGCCACACUGGAACGGGGACACGGUCCAGACUCCUACGGAGGGCAGUAGUGGGAAAUAUUGCACAAGGGGGGCAAGCCUAAUGCAGCCAUGCCGCGUGUGUGAGGAGGGCCUUCGGGUUGUAAAGCACGUUCAGCGGGGAGGCGUUAACCGCAGAAGAAGCACCGGCUAACUACGUGCCAGCAGCCGCGGUAAUUC